rnacentral:rRNA from 1 species
GUGUCAGCAGCCGCGGUAAGACGAACCGUGCAAACGUUGUUCGGAAUCACUGGGCUUAAAGGGCGCGUAGGCGGAUAUUCAAGUCGGUGGUGAAAUCCCCCAGCUUAACUGGGGAACUGCCUUCGAUACUGGGUAUCUCGAGUAAGGUAGGGGCAUGCGGAACUGAUGGUGGAGCGGUGAAAUGUGUUGAUAUCAUCAGGAACUCCGGUGGCGAAAGCGGCGUGCUGGACCUUAACUGACGCUGAGGCGCGAAAGCCAGGGGAGCAAACGGGAUUAGAUACCCGCGUAGUCC